GAACUCAUUCAUCCUGUGUGGAGGAGGGGGUCAGCUCUGUGUUCCAUGCAAAGUGCUGUCUUCUGAGGUCCAGUAUCAGCGCUGAAAGAAAACUGAGACCUGGUUUGAAUGUCUGCAUGUGGGGGACCCUGGAGAUCAGCAUGCUUGGGGGGUCCUGGCAGGCUCCAAACUACGCCCACACCCACCACCCCUUCCAGCGAGCACCCCUGAUGCUCCAGGCUGCCCUCUGCCCCAUCCAUCUCUGUGCCUAUGGAGCCUCCAGUAUCUCCCAGUUGGAGGAAGAGGUGGAGUCAGCAGACCCGGAACCAUCAUUUCAGCAUAGUAAGGUCUCUCCUCACUUGCCUAAACACCGGAGGAGGCAGCCUUGGUAUUCCGUUUUCCAAGAUAUGAAGCUUGGUAUAUUAAUCAGAAUCCUUCGUGAGCAAGGGGCAGCAAUCAACUCAGACUUAGAAAGAGUCCAGAUGGGCUCAUUCCGGGGCUUCGCGUGCGCGUGGGGCCCAACCCAGGCCCUUGCGCGGGGUCGCAGUCGGGACGGCCCUGCCCCAGGUGUGGCUCGGAGGCUGCCGCUGGUAUUAAUGACUUUACCUUUGGGUUUGUGUCUGUAAGUGACAUCUGGUGUGGCAUCGGAGCUUGGGCCAGAGGUGCAGAGGUGUG
rnacentral:lncRNA from 1 species